CAUACUGGGGGCAUCAUGAAGGUAUCUUGGUCAAUGGGGGAAACCCUGAACCAGCAACGCCGCGUGAGGUCCUCCUUUUUUCUUCUUUUCCCCCUCUUUCCUCUUUUCCUCUUAUGACGUUAGCAGAGGAGGAAGCUCCGGCUAACUACGUGCCAGCAGCCGCGGUAAUACGUAGGGAGCGAGCGUUGUCCGUAUUUACUGGGUGUAAAGGGUGCGUAGGCGGCUUGGCAAGUCAGUAGUGAAAUCCAUGGGCUUAACCCAGGAACUGCUAUGGAAACUGUCGAGCUUGAGUGAAGUAGAGGUAGGCGGAAUUCCCGGUGUAGCGGUGAAAUGCGUAGAGAUCGGGAGGAACACCAGUGGCGAAGGCGGCCUACUGGGCUUUAAAUGACGCUGAGGCACGAAAGCGUGGGGAGCAAACAGGAUUAGAGAAAAAAGUAGUC
rnacentral:rRNA from 1 species